rnacentral:lncRNA from 1 species
GAGGUUACGGGAAGGAAGGGCGAGUGUGCGCACGCGCGGGCACUCCCCAGCCUCGUACCUGGUUACCUAGGAGACGGCGAGGCGCUCACCCUCCUGGUUUGGGUCGUGCUUCUUUGCUCCAGGCCUUGGCUCAGGCGGCAGGUGGGGGAGAGUAAACGUGUUGACCCAAAGUUGCAACUCCCAAGAAGAAACCUCACGUCGGGUUGCAGGAAAGCAACAAACCUCUACAGGCUGGAGAGGAGAAUGUGUGGGACAAGCAGGGCCUCAUGAUUUCAGCUACUUGCUUGGGCCUUCCCAAGCCCCACUGUGUGGGUUGAGGGAGUCCUUUCCCGGUGACCUCCAAAACAAAGCGUUCGUGUUCUCCAACUCCGCCUCUUUCCUAACUGCUGGCUUUGUUGAACCAAGAUGACCCACAGUAUGGAGCUGCUGAAAGGACGAGGGGCAACAUGAACAACAAAAUAAGACCACUGGGAGUUCCUGCUGUGGCGCAAUGGCAUUGGCGUCAUCUCUGCAGCGCCAGGAUGCAGGAUCCCUGAGGAUCUGGAUUUUGUCUUUGCUCUGCUCGGGGCCAGGAUCUGGACCAACUCCCUGGCUGUGUGGCUGCAGACCUAUCCCUCCCUCCUUCACGUGCUCCUGUUCCUCUUGCUGUGCUCUUACUGGCGACAUAGUUAGGCACCUACUGGGAGCAGAACUCAGAGAAGAAAGAGACUUAUGAAAGUGAUGGCUGUUUUAAAUUAGAACUGUAGAGUCAUCUUACUUUUUUUUUUUUUUUUUUUUUUUUUUUUUUUUUUUUUUUUUGCCAGGCCCGCAGCAUGCAGAAGCUAUGGGGCCAGGGAUCGAACUAGCACUAUAGCAGUGACAACGCCAGAGCCAGAUCCUUAGCCCCCUAGGCCACUGGGGAACUCCCUAAUGUUUAAACUUUUUAUUGGUGAACAAAUUUCCUACCUUCAAAGAUACAUAAUUUCACAAAUAGAAAUACAUGAAAAAGCUAGUAUUCGUGUUAGAUUUCAGUAAAGAAGUCUUAGGCCCAAGGUGAAGAGGAAUUUCCAGUUUAUGAAUAUAUUUAAGUACCCAAGCUGGCUACCGUGUAGUGUAUAGAGAGCUCUUUUGAAAGGCCUUGAAGGAGAGACUGAAUUUCUAGCUGGCAGGAAUGGUUUGGGUUAAGGAUUUCAUUUCUGUGAUGUUUCUAAUUAAAACCUCCCAGCUCCUCUGGCCGAA